rnacentral:rRNA from 1 species
UACAGAGGGUGCAAGCGUUAAUCGGAAUGACUGGGCGUAAAGGGCGUGUAGGUGGCACUAUAAGUUAGAUGUGAAAUCCCUGGGCUUAACCUAGGAAGGUCAUCUAAUACUGUAGAGCUAGAGUACAGGAGAGGGAAGUGGAAUUUCCGGUGUAGCGGUGAAAUGCGUAGAUAUCGGAAGGAACACCAGUGGCGAAGGCGGCUUUCUGGCCUGAUACUGACACUGAGGCGCGAAAGCGUGGGUAGCGAACAGG